AGUGAACGCUGGCGGUAGGCCUAACACAUGCAAGUCGAACGGCAGCACAGUAAGAGCUUGCUCUUACGGGUGGCGAGUGGCGGACGGGUGAGGAAUACAUCGGAAUCUACUUUUUCGUGGGGGAUAACGUAGGGAAACUUACGCUAAUACCGCAUACGACCUACGGGUGAAAGCAGGGGAUCUUCGGACCUUGCGCGAUUGAAUGAGCCGAUGUCGGAUUAGCUAGUUGGCGGGGUAAAGGCCCACCAAGGCGACGAUCCGUAGCUGGUCUGAGGGGAUGAUCAGCCACACGGGAGCUGAGACACGGUGCAGACUCCUACGGGAGGCAGCAGUGGGGAAUAUUGGACAAGGGGCGCAAGCCUGAUCCAGCCAUACCGCGUGGGUGAAGAAGGCCUUCGGGUUGUAAAGCCCUUUUGUUGGGAAAGAAAAGCAGCAGGUUAAUACCCCGCUGUUCUGACGGUACCCAAAGAAUAAGCACCGGCUAACUUCGU
rnacentral:rRNA from 1 species